GGGGUUGUGGCUCAGCGGUAGAGCACUCUCCUAGCAUGUGUGAGGACCUGGGUUCAACCCUCAGCACCACA
rnacentral:tRNA from 1 species